CCGGGGGUGUGGCUCAGUUGGUAGAGUGCUUGCCUAGCAUGCGGGAAGCCCUGGGUUCAAUCCCCAGCACCAGGU